rnacentral:rRNA from 1 species
GAGUUUGAUCCUGGCUCAGAUUGAACGCUGGCGGCAUGCCUUACACAUGCAAGUCGAACGGCAGCAUGAUCUAGCUUGCUAGAUUGAUGGCGAGUGGCGAACGGGUGAGUAAUACAUCGGAACGUGCCCUGUAGUGGGGGAUAACUAGUCGAAAGAUUAGCUAAUACCGCAUACGACCUGAGGGUGAAAGUGGGGGACCGCAAGGCCUCAUGCUAUAGGAGCGGCCGAUGUCUGAUUAGCUAGUUGGUGGGUAAAGGCCCGCCAAGGCGACGAUCAGUAGCUGGUCUGAGAGGACGAUCAGCCACACUGGGACUGAGACACGGCCCAGACUCCUACGGGAGGCAGCAGUGGGGAAUUUUGGACAAUGGGGGCAACCCUGAUCCAGCAAUGCCGCGUGUGUGGAGAAGGCCUCGG